rnacentral:lncRNA from 1 species
GCUCUUCGGCUCGGUAGGCUGCUACCUCUGCAACAGGCAUUGAUGAGAGGUUGGUGGAGCGAUUAGUCCGUCGCGAGGUCAUCGUUUGAAAUGGCACUGUCAUGGGAAUUUUUAGAGGUCCCAUUCUCGUAUUCCAUCAUGCAGCGUCAGGGCAUGUGCUGUGCGCAGAUGGCAGUGGAGGAAUAGUGAAUGCCGAGGGCGG